AUGACAAUAACCUUCGGUGAUGCUACCGAAGACAAAAAAAUCAAGAUUACCAAGGAAGCUACCCACAAGGUGUUUGGAUACCCAAACGGCACGCAAAGGUCAGCACCAAGGCCAGAGACUAGCCCAUCUUCAAUGAAAGAACUGAUGUCAGAGCUUGGCUUCAAAGAUACAAAAUUCGUGCCAAAACAACUAUUCGAGAAGCUACAAAUAUUGGUGGAAAUAGAUGAUGAAGAAUCAAACAGGAAAUCAGUUAAAAUAUUUUUCCUUAUUUUUUCCACAAUGUUGUCUAUGGGUCAAGCGCCGUUAUCUUUGCCCAGAUAA
rnacentral:rRNA from 1 species